GUGAGCGGCCAUAGUGGCCUGGUUCCACCUGUUCCCAUUUCGAACACAGCAGUGAAAUAGGCCGACGUUCCGUUGUUGUACUGCAUUAAAUGCGGGAAGCUCGGUUCGCUGCUCCAC
rnacentral:rRNA from 1 species